rnacentral:rRNA from 1 species
ACGGGUACGGGGAUUAGGGUUCGAUUCCGGAGAGGGAGCCUGAGAAACGGCUACCACAUCCAGGAAGGCAGCAGGCGCGCAAAUUACCCAAUCCCGACACGGGGAGGUAGUGACAAUAAAUAACAAUACGGGGCUCAUUUGGGUCUCGUAAUUGGAAUGAGUACAAUUUAAAUCUCUUAACGAGGAACAAUUGGAGGGCAAGUCUGGUGCCAGCAGCCGCGGUAAUUCCAGCUCCAAUAGCGUAUAUUAAAGUUGUUGCAGUUAAAAAGCUCGUAGUUGAACUUCGGGGUCUACCCAUUGGUCAGGCUUAAUUGUCUGYACUGGUGAGAUGGAUCUCUACCUUCUGAGGAACUUUCAUGCCAUUUAUUUGGUGUGGUUGGAAAUCAGGACUGUUACUUUGAAAAAAUUAGAGUGUUUAAAGCAGACUAUCGUCUGAAUACAUUAGCAUGGAAUAAUGAAAUAGGACGGACUGAUUCUAUUUCGUUGGUUUCUAGGAUCACCGUAAUGAUUAAUAGGGAUAGUUGGGGGCAUUAGUAUUCAAUUGUCAGAGGUGAAAUUCUUGGAUUUAUUGAAGACUAACUACUGCGAAAGCAUUUGCCAAGGAUGUUUUCAUUAAUCAAGAACGAAAGUUAGGGGAUCGAAGACGAUCAGAUACCGUCGUAGUCUUAACCAUAAACUAUGCCGACUAGGGAUCGGACGAAGUUAAUUUUAUAAUGACGCGUUCGGCACCUUACGGGAAACCAAGGUUUU